rnacentral:rRNA from 1 species
GAUGAACGCUGACAGAAUGCUUAACACAUGCAAGUCUUUGGCGAAGCUGUGCUUGCACAGCCUAGCCAAGGCGGACGGGUGAGUAACGCGUAAGGAACUUGCCCUGCAGUCAGGGAUAACAGACGGAAACGACUGAUAAGACCUGGUAAAGUCAGGCGGACUCAUGUCCAGCCUGAUGAAAAGAGAUGCUGCAGGAGAGCCUUGCGUCCUAUUAGCUUGUUGGUGGGGUAACGGCCCACCAAGGCGAUGAUAGGUAGCCGGCCUGAGAGGGUGGACGGCCACAAGGGGACUGAGAUACGGCCCUUACUCCUACGGGAGGCAGCAGUGGGGAAUAUUGGACAAUGGGGGCAACCCUGAUCCAGCAAUUCUGUGUGCACGAUGAAGGUUUUCGGAUUGUAAAGUGCUUUCAGCAGGGAAGAAAAAAAUGACGGUACCUGCAGAAGAAGCGACGGUUAAAUACGUG